AUUGAACGCUGGCGGCAGGCCUAACACAUGCGAGUCGAGCGGAUGAAGGGAGCUUGCUCCUGGAUUCAGCGGCGGACGGGUGAGUAAUGCCUAGGAAUCUGCCUGGUAGUGGGGGAUAACGUCCGGAAACGGGCGCUAAUACCGCAUACGUCCUGAGGGAGAAAGUGGGGGAUCUUCGGACCUCACGCUAUCAGAUGAGCCUAGGUCGGAUUAGCUAGUUGGUGGGGUAAAGGCCUACCAAGGCGACGAUCCGUAACUGGUCUGAGAGGAUGAUCAGUCACACUGGAACUGAGACACGGUCCAGACUCCUACGGGAGGCAGCAGUAGGGAAUAUUGGACAAUGGGCGAAAGCCUGAUCCAGCCAUGCCGCGUGUGUGAAGAAGGUCUUCGGAUUGUAAAGCACUUUAAGUUGGGAGGAAGGGCAGUAAGUUAAUACCUUGCUGUUUUGACGUUACCAACAGAAAAAGCACCGGCUAACUUCGUG
rnacentral:rRNA from 1 species